rnacentral:lncRNA from 1 species
UGCAGCCAUUUUUUAUUCUGUGUCUGGAUAUAAUUACUUUUAUGGGAAGAAUGUACAUGCUUUCAACAUCUUUGUAAGCUUGAUUCAUCGACUAUUAAAAAUCAUCUUGAUAUACAAAAUCUCCAAAAAAUUCCCUUAAACAAACAAAAAACACCCCCACAACAGCAACAACAACAAAACCACAAAAAAACCAAACAAGCAAACAAAAAACCCCCCAAUAGUAAUGCCCCAAAAACCCCAAACAAAACAAGUCUCUCAAGUGGACUCUGAACUGGCAAAAAUCUGUGAUCAAUAUUCCCCUUUCCUUCUUCAUUUCAACCUAAAGGAUGUUGAGACUCACUAUCCUUAGUGAGCAAAAAAGUAAGCUAAUUAACAGACAACUGCUGCUCUUUACUUAAAAAAAAACGUAGACAAAGCAUGAAAUAUUUUCCUGUGCUAUUUAUUUUGAGUCAAUAUUCAGUAUGGAUAUGAGCUGUAUUUAUCAAUUAAUAACUAAGUUUCACAUAUCUGAAUGCACAGGCCUAGGAGGGAUACUCAAGCAAGGAAGGCAAAAAGAAAAUAAGGCCUUGGAGGGAGAGAUUUUCUGGGUCAGACUAAAAGCUGCAGAAGUUUAACUGAGCAAGAGGGGUAUCAUCACCAACCUUGAAAUGUAAUGUUAAGAAUUGUACAUCAUAGUGCAGUUCAUUUUUCAUAAAACUUUUCAUUUUGGGACUAUCUGGCAGGCUGAGGAGAAAUGUGAGGAUCCUAACCAUGUUUUCCUGUCAUUUAUUAACUGUCUUUACUCAGAUGAUGUGUAGAGCUGGAUCAUUUCUUAUGUCCUCAAGAAUGGAUGGAACUUAGUUGUUGCCACUAAAACAAAUGGGUUAUGAAACUCACAAGAUGCUCCAGCCACAAAAACAGGCUCUGCUCCACCUUCUACCUGGGCCCCCAGGGAAGACAGGGAGGCUGCUGGGAAUUCAUACUCCUGGUGCCAGGAGAAUAAACCCUGUUGUUUGCAGAAAGAUGGCAACUCUGUGAAAGACAUACUUUGCUAAAACCUCAUUAUCGCAGUAGGAACACUCUCCAUCUGUUUUUAUGUAAAUAAUUUCAAAGUGUAUGAUUUGUGUAAUGUAUUUUGUUUGAAUUAGUUUUCACCAGUGAGAUGAGGAUAAAGAUUUUCUUUUAUAUUACACAGCUGGUUUUACUUCUUCUUAGCAUCCGAUACUUUUAUUAUUUCUAUACAAAUUCCUUUACUGCAGGAGAUUUAUUACUUAUAGUAAUCUUGCGUGCUGUGAAUUUCUUAUAGCUCAUUCAUUUGGCCUUUCAUGUGACUACUCUAGAUGGGAGAUAGAAUGAAAGGAAGGAGAUCUAAAUCUGGUC